UAAAGUCCCAGUUCGGAUUGUAGUCUGCAACCCGACUACAUGAAGCUGGAAUCGCCAGUAAUCGCGGAUCAGAAUGCCGCGGUGAAUACGUUCCCGGGUCUUGUACACACCGCCCGUCACACCAUGGGAGUCGGAAAUGCCCGAAGUCGGUGACCUAACUGAAAGGAAGGAGCCGCCGAAGGCAGGUCUGGUGACUGGGGUGAAGUCGUAACAAGGUACC
rnacentral:rRNA from 1 species